rnacentral:rRNA from 1 species
UACGUAGGGUGCGAGCGUUAAUCGGAAUUACUGGGCGUAAAGCGUGCGCAGGCGGAUUGUUAAGCAAGAUGUGAAAUCCCCGGGCUUAACCUGGGAAUGGCAUUUUGAACUGGCAGUCUAGAGUGUGUCAGAGGGGGGUGGAAUUCCACGUGUAGCAGUGAAAUGCGUAGAUAUGUGGAGGAACACCAAUGGCGAAGGCAGCCCCAUGGGAUAACACGGACGCGCAUGUAAGAAAGCGGGGGUAGCACACAGGCUGCGAUAACACCGUAGUCC